rnacentral:rRNA from 1 species
AACGUAGGUGGCGAGCGUUAUCCGGAUUUACUGGGCGUAAAGCGUGUGCAGGCGGGCUGUCAAGUGGUGUAUGAAAUCGCUCGGCUUAACCGGGCGCGGUUAUGCCAGACUGACAGUCUAGAGUGCGGGAGAGGGGCGUGGAAUUCCGGGUGUAGUGGUGAAAUGCGUAGAGAUCCGGAGGAACCCCACAGGCGAAGGCGGCGCCCUGGCCCGACACUGACGCUCAGACACGACAGCAUGGGGAGCGAACGGG